AUUGAACGCUGGCGGCAUGCCUUACACAUGCAAGUCGAACGGUAACAGAUCUUCGGAUGCUGACGAGUGGCGAACGGGUGAGUAAUACAUCGGAACGUGCCAAGUAGUGGGGGAUAACUACUCGAAAGAGUGGCUAAUACCGCAUGAGAUCUACGGAUGAAAGCAGGGGAUUGCAAGACCUUGUGCUACUAGAGCGGCCGAUGGCAGAUUAGGUAGUUGGUGGGAUAAAAGCUUACCAAGCCGACGAUCUGUAGCUGGUCUGAGAGGACGAUCAGCCACACUGGGACUGAGACACGGCCCAGACUCCUACGGGAGGCAGCAGUGGGGAAUUUUGGACAAUGGGCGCAAGCCUGAUCCAGCAAUGCCGCGUGCAGGAUGAAGGCCUUCGGGUUGUAAACUGCUUUUGUACGGAACGAAAAGCCCUGGGUUAAUACCCUGGGGUCAUGACGGUACCGUAAGAAUAAGCACCGGCUAACUACGUGCCAGCAGCCGCGGUAAAAC
rnacentral:rRNA from 1 species